AUUUUGAAUUUUCCAAUUAACAUGAUUUAUGACGCACAUUACAUUGGGAGCAUAAAUUUAGCAUGUUUAGGAACAUGCAUGAUAAAGAAAAUAUUGAGUAACACCAUGUUUAUGAAUACUUCUGAAAGCUAAUCUCUAGAUUAUCAUGAUUAUACUUCAUUAAUGAACUGUACAUGUAUAUUUUUGCAAGUUUUGUCACCUGGUCACAGUGCAAUUAAGUUAUCAUUUGCCUUAACCAAAACAAUAAAUUGUUAUAGAUUAAAUCUGAACACAUGCAAAAUGACAUAAAGAGUAUAAGAAAUUACCUUUCCCAGCAAGAGAAGCUUACAUACUUUCUGUUUUAACAGAACUUUUUGUCAUGAAUUAUUAUUUUUUUACAUCUUAAAUUUAAAAAAUGUAUAAGUCUACAUGCACAAGAAACACUGGUCUUCGUAAACAAUUAUCAGAAUACAUGUUGUAUAAUUCAAAAUCUGCAUGCAGAAGACUCACUGCAUGUCAGGUCUUCAAAUACAAUUUUGAGUGGCCAGAGUGACACAGUUUUAAGAUUAAGGCUGAAUAAAAAAAAGUAUGUGGUUCCAGUUACAUGUAAGAAAAGUUAGGGUAUGUAGUAAAGGAUUUUUUUUUACAUUAUGGCUAUGGGAGGAACAUUCUGACUUUGAUCGUGCUUAUUGAAAAAUGACAAAAAAAUCUUUAUGGUUGGCUAUUAUAUAUUAGGACUAAAAAGUAGGAUAGGUAGCUAUAGGGUAACUGGAACCACACAUAUGUUUUAAUUUGGCCUAAGGAUCGGGACGUACAAUUAAGGACAUUUUUAUUAUCUCAAAGGUUUAUGUUAAUAUUUUAAAUAUUGAAGAAACAUAUAAUGAUUUACAUGUACUUUUGCUAGAAUUUAAGUAUUUUUGGAUUAAAAAAAGCUUUUCCAACUUCAUGAACAUGUUAGAAUUAAACAAGAAUAGUUGUAUGCCCCUGCCUCAGCAUUCCAGGGGCAUUAAGUGUUACCCUUGGGCCAAAAUUAAAAAUAUGUUUGUUUUCCCUCCCCCACCCUGGUCAAAAAUAAGCCCCCGGGUCAAAAAAUUAUUUUCCACAAAAAAAUCGAAAUUAUUUUUUUCCUGAAAAUAAUUUGUUUCCAUUUUUGGAAAGUGUUUGAAAGCAGAAGGAUUGAUAUUCUAAAUAAAUACACUCAAAUUGAGCACAAACAACUGAUAAGUGGCCUGGACUGGACAAGUCAAACCAUUCAUGUGACCAAAAAAAAAACCUGCCUUCUUGGUCUGUUUACAAAGGGUAGACCCGGGGGAGGGGAAACAGACAUUCUUUUAAAUGUGGCCUUGGUACUCCUGUAAGUUAUUGCAUCCCAAAAAUUGGUUCCCAUUCUUUAAUUUUAGUUUUCUUCAACUAAAUGUUACAAAAUCUAUACACAAUGCUUAUUUCCACAAAACACAGACCAAGUUUGAACUUAGGUGUCAUAACUUUUACAGUUCCAGAGUUAUGCCCAUUUACAAAUAGAAAAAUAAUUUCCAUUCUCUAACUUAAUUUUUAAGUUUGCCUCGACCAACUAUUGUUAAACUAUUAUAUUAUAAAUAAUGUGGGUUUACACAAUGCCUAUUACCACAAAACACAGAUCAAGCUGAAAUUGUGGGUGGUAUCAUAGGGGUUCUGGUUUUUUUCCUAAAAAAAUUCUGACCCCCAAUUGGAUGAACAUAAAUGUUGUGUUCAAUGAGAUGACAAAAAAAAAUUAUUCUGUGUUAAAUUUUGGAUAAAAAAAUUUGAUUUAUAGUGUUGAAAUAUAUAUAGUAAAAAAAUGUUUGCUUAUAAUUGUGUGAAUUUUAUUCUAACACGUACAGACAAAAAAAUAAUAACCCCUCCUUAAAGUUAUUAAUGGUUGCUCCUUAAGUACAAAUGUAAACUAAACAUAUUUUGGAUGUAAAUUUAACAUCAUCACCUGUCAAAUUGCAUUGUUGACCAAGAAAUACAUGACAUGUGUUUUCAUAGUGGGUCUCAUUGGGGUCUAAGCGUGACACGGGAUUGCUGAUUUUUUGUAAGCGUAACACGUGAAAGUCAAAUUAUUGUGCCGUGUAAAUGGGAAAUGAAGUCUAGCGGGACACGGGAAAUUACAAAGAAAUGAGAAUUGCUUACGUACAUAGUUUAAGCGGGAUAAGGGCAUCUGACCAAUUUAAAACAGUAAGCGGGAUAAGGGAUUCUGACAAAACAGUAAGCAGGAUCCGGGAUCAGAACCCCCCAAUGAGACCCCCUUCAUACUAGAGCUAGUAACAUGAUUAAUAAUUACAUUUAAAUGUCUACAGUCUGAACAUUUUUUGAUACUUUAAUAUGUUAUAACUGUUUAAUAAUAUGGGUUAUUGAAAAUAAGGUUAAUGAUUAUAUAGACUCUUAAUUUAUCUCUCUACUGUACAUGUACUGUGAAAUGUGUGACCAAAUAAAAUUACAUUGUAAAAUUUACGUAUAAUAAGUGUAUGCAAUGAUACUUACAAUCUUAAGAAUUGAUUUUCAGAAGUCUUGUGGUGUAUGUUGUACAUGUAUGCACAUGAAUAUAUAUGUUCAUUUAUAUAUAGAAUCAGUUUCAUUUUUAACUUUGAUGUUUAAACAGUCCCAAUUUCAGUGUUCACAAUCAAUGUAAAUUUUUUAUGCCCUUGCAUAAAGUGGUCAGGCUAUAUAGUUUUACCUUUAUCCAUCAUUCCAUCAUUUUGUUAAUGUCUGUCAUUCCCCUAUUCUGCAAGAUACAGUUAUCAUUGGUUAUACAGACUGCUUUUCAACACAUCUCACAUAUUGAGCAGAUUUUUAGUUUCUACUCUUUGGGUGGGUUAUUGUUCUUUGAUAUAUUCCCCAUUUCCAUUCUCAGUUUUAUUUUAUAUUAUGAUAAGUAUGAUGAGUAACAGAUUAAGUAUACAUGUUUUCUCGUUUGAAUUGUUUUACAUUGUCUUAUCAGGGCCUUUUAUAGCCAACUAUGCGGUAUGGGCUUUGCUCAUUGUUGAAGGUCGUACAGUGACCUAUAGUUGUUAAUGUCUGUGUCAUUUUGGUCUCUUGUGGACAGUUGUCUCAUUGGCAAUCAUACCACAUCUUCUUUUUGAUAUGUCCCUAUACAUAAGGUUCUCCUCUAAUGACUUAUGCUGAAAUUAGCAUGAUUAUAAGGGGGUUAGGACUUUGAAAAUUUGUGAGUGGGGCUAAUAAUCACGACAUACCAGAACACCUACAUUGAAGCAUAUGAUUGUCCAAAUUUUUUUUCUCUUUGGUCAGCCAGGCCAAAAAUACACAGUUUUUAUACAUCCAACCUCUGAAAAAAUCCUGGAUCCGCCCAUAGUCUUAUAUAAUUGGUUAUUUACAUUGCCUCAUGUAUUUGAAAUUUAUUAAGUGUUUUUACUUAAGCCUUAUUUUUCCACACAUGUAAAUGAAUAUUUAUUUAUAUAUUUGUUAACCUGAAUCAAUUAUGUCAAAUUUAAAAACAAAACUGUUACGAUUGAUAUGGUUGUGAUUUUUACUUGUAUUGUUAGAGAAGAUGGUAUAAAAUCAACAGGGAUCACCACCAAAACAUAAUUUCAUUCCAUUGUCCAAGAAGUCAAGACCAUAAACACA
rnacentral:lncRNA from 1 species